AUCUCAAAACAGAUCCUGGGAGCCUAAUAACUCCUCCAUGCAUCUCAUUCUGGAAAUGAGCAGCAAGACCAUGCAGCAUCCUGCUGGGCCACGCAGUCCCUCUCUGCUCUAAAGGAGGGCGAGUCACAAUUUGGCAGCAGCAAGCAUGAGUUUCCUAUCUGAAGCGGAACUGUUGUACAGAAACAUCGGCAUGUUUUGCAGUCCACAUUGUAGGUCCUGGGCAGAUACUCACACAUCUUUGAACUGUGAUAAGGAGAAUAUUAUUACCCUACUGGUGGCCUGGUCAGAUAAGUUGUUUGCGGAGGACAGUCUGCAUUUAUUUCAAGCUCUCUUUCUGCUGCACCAGUAACUCCAGAUUCCAUUCCCAACAAAAUCAGCCACUUCUUACUCGAGACUGCAAGGAGCAAUGGACAAUUUAGAGAAAGACGGCGAUUGUGCCAGCACUUCGCCUUCCUGCACAACCUUCAAGGAGGAACCUCUGUCAGGUUCCAGCAUGUUUUACCACCUGAGAGACCGGGAGAUGCUCCGGAAGAGAAAGGCGGAAGCCAAGGAGAAGGAUUCAAUUCAGUGGGCUCUAGGGGAUUAUGAGAAAAGCAAGCGUCAGAAGAAAAGCCAAGGUGCCAGGAGGGGAAGGAAGCGUGGGCAUGUAAUGAAGCCUGCACCACAGCAAAGGCCUCAGUCCCUGAAGACAGAGGAAGAUGAGACGAUGUCUUCCGUGAUUACGCAGCAAGCUGAGUCUUCCCAGAUAGAUGCGCAGGACCUGUUUUCUGGUGUGCAGCUGGCAGAUCUGGAAGGGAUAUUGGCCUCUGAGAGCCAGAGUCCCCUGGGUGAAGAGGAUAUGCUGAAACUGGCGGAUGAGUUAGAGGACGUACUGAGUUCUUCACUGGAAAAUAAUGGAUCAGAAAUUGACACAAACUCAUCAAGCCCGUUUUAAAGUUUUAUGUAACAACUAACAUAGAAUCAUAGAAUUACCCAGGUUGGAAAAGACCUUGAAGAUCAUCAAGUCCAACCACAGCCUAACCAUAGUACCCUAACUCUAACAACCCUACACUAAAUCAUAUCCCUGAGCACCACAUCCAAAUGGCUCUUAAACACAUCCAGGGAUGGCGAUUCAACCACCUCCCUGGGGAGCCUAUUCCAGCACUUAACAACCCUUUCUGUAAAGAAGUUCUUCCUAAUAUCCAACCCAAACUUACCUUGGUGCAACUUGAGGCCAUUUCCCCUCAUCCUGUCACUUGUGUAUAUUGUGUCACAUAUGUAUAUUCUUCUAGAUUUAAGACUAAGAAAUACUGAAAAGUCUUUUUAAGACACUUGAAGCUGCUCUUUCCUCAGGAACAAUAAAAAUCUCUCUGCAAUGCUUCCUGUGUUGCUU
rnacentral:lncRNA from 1 species